rnacentral:lncRNA from 1 species
CCGAGGCCGAGGCUGCUCCCAUCCCAGGCCCAGCCGGUGUCUCCUCUCCAGGACAGGCGCGGAGGAGGAGGCAGAGUAAAACCAGCCACCGCUCAGUGAGCACGUGCUACGCCCCAGGCCCCGGAGGGGAACAGGCUUUUUUCCUGUUCGGUGGAAAUGUUUGUGCUGCCAAGAGUCCAGCAGAGGAGAGACAGGAGAGGAAGACAGCACCUGCAUGGUCCCACGUGCGGGGCGUUUUGUGGGGAGCUCCAAGCUGGGAACAGAGGCCUUUCCCUGUUGCUCAGAAGGCUGCAUGGAGGUCAGGGUGCAAGAUGUUCUGGGAUGUGGGAUGGGGCCCCAGGGUGUCAGGGCUGGGAGG